ACAACUGCCCACAGUUGUUUAACACGAGUUGAGGCCUAGAGCACUGCAAACGAGAUUAGCACCCGGCCCUUCCCACACCAGCAGCAGGAUUUGUGAUGCUCUGACUCCAUCGGUUUAAGAAUGCCACAUAGAACCCUCCUGCUCCUCCCUCCUAGCCCAUCCAAAUCCAGCAUCUAACAAUGACUCUACAUUACAUGGCAGCCAGGAAAGGAAGUGCACACAUCCAGUGAUAUUAUCAAGCUGCAGAAGAGAGUUUCAUGCAUUAAGAGCUCAAGCUAAUUUCAUGUACAUGUUAAGAAUCUGCUCCAAGGCAGGAAUGCUUUCAGUCAAGUGACUGAAUGAGGAAGGAAGCAUCCAG